UGCGUAGGUGGUUUCUUAAGUCAGAGGUGAAAGGCUACGGCUCAACCGUAGUAAGCCUUUGAAACUGGGAAACUUGAGUGCAGGAGAGGAGAGUGGAAUUCCUAGUGUAGCGGUGAAAUGCGUAGAUAUUAGGAGGAACACCAGUUGCGAAGGCGGCUCUCUGGACUGUAACUGACACUGAGGCACGAAAGCGUGGGGAGCGAACA
rnacentral:rRNA from 1 species